rnacentral:rRNA from 1 species
AGCGAACGCUGGCGGCAGGCUUAACACAUGCAAGUCGAACGGGCAUCUUCGGAUGUCAGUGGCAGACGGGUGAGUAACACGUGGGAACGUACCCUUCGGUUCGGAAUAACUCAGGGAAACUUGAGCUAAUACCGGAUACGCCCUUUUGGGGAAAGGUUUACUGCCGAAGGAUCGGCCCGCGUCUGAUUAGCUUGUGGGUGGGGUAACGGCCUACCAAGGCGACGAUCAGUGGCUGGGCUGAGAGGAUGAUUAGCCACACUGGGACUGAGACACGGCCCAGACUCCUACGGGAGGCAGCAGUAGGGAAUAUUGGACAAUGGGCGCAAGCCUGAUCCAGCCAUGCCGCGUGAGUGAUGAAGGCCUUAGGGUUGUAAAGCUCUUUUGUCCGGGACGAUAAUGACGGUACCGGAAGAAUAAGCCCCGGCUAACUUCGUG